UGGGGAAUAUUGGACAAUGGGCGAAAGCCUGAUCCAGCCAUGCCGCGUGUGUGAAGAAGGUCUUCGGAUUGUAAAGCACUUUAAGUUGGGAGGAAGGGUUGUAGAUUAAUACUCUGCAAUUUUGACGUUACCGACAGAAUAAGCACCGGCUAACUCUGUGCCAGCAGCCGCGGUAAUACAGAGGGUGCAAGCGUUAAUCGGAAUUACUGGGCGUAAAGCGCGCGUAGGUGGUUUGUUAAGUUGGAUGUGAAAUCCCCGGGCUCAACCUGGGAACUGCAUCCAAAACUGGCAAGCUAGAGUAUGGUAGAGGGUGGUGGAAUUUCCUGUGUAGCGGUGAAAUGCGUAGAUAUAGGAAGGAACACCAGUGGCGAAGGCGACCACCUGGACUGAUACUGACACUGAGGUGCGAAAGCGUGGGGAGCAAACAGGAUUAGAUACCCGAGUAGUCCCUGAGCGGGCUGGCAAGGCGCAU
rnacentral:rRNA from 1 species